rnacentral:rRNA from 1 species
CAAUAGCGUAUAUUAAAGUUGUUGCAGUUAAAAAGCUCGUAGUUGGAUUUCUGGUGGGAGCGAUCGGUCUGGCGCUUAGCGCGAGUACUUGCAUCGUCUCCGGCCAUCCUUGGGGAGAGUCUGUCUGGCAUUAGGUUGUCGGGCAGAGGAUCCUCAUCGUUUACUGUGAAAAAAGUAGAGUGUUCAAAGCAGGCUUAUGCCGUUGAAUAUAUUAGCAUGGAAUAAUAAGAUAGGACUUUGGUACUAUUUUGUUGGUUUGCGCACCAAAGUAAUGAUUAAUAGGGACAGUUGGGGGUAUUCGUAUUCCGUUGUCAGAGGUGAAAUUCUUGGAUUUACGGAAGACGAACUACUGCGAAAGCAUUUACCAAGGAUGUUUUCAUUAA